UGCCCCUAGAUUGAGCUUGCUUUUCUUGGGCACGACCCUUGGUUCCUGUGUUGCCUUCCCAUCRUAUGGAAAAUUUCAUGAGAUAGCCCCGCCCCGCCACUUUCCUCCUUGUGGCUUUGCGGCURCAAAGCGRACCUYGAAAGCAGUCCCCGUGUCCCCGACAUAUCCUCUGACUUUUGUUGUGGCURUCUYGGUCCAYAGGAGAACUGCUUGCACUCUCGGAUAUGGAAAAUUAAGCGGACRUGGGGGRUCUUGGCCUUCGGUYGCKCCAAUCAAGUCCCUCGAUAGGAAUGACUUUUGCUACCUCAUUGACUGCAGGCCSUCUAGGCCCRUGGCAUCAAUGCGGGUCCGAAGUCGAGAAAGAAUGCUACCUGG
rnacentral:misc_RNA from 1 species